rnacentral:rRNA from 1 species
GCAAGUCGAGCGGACCGACGGGAGCUUGCUCCCUUAGGUCAGCGGCGGACGGGUGAGUAACACGUGGGUAACCUGCCUGUAAGACUGGGAUAACUCCGGGAAACCGGGGCUAAUACCGGAUGCUUGAUUGAACCGCAUGGUUCAAUCAUGAAAGGCGGCUUCGGCUGCCGUUUACAGAUGGACCCGCGGCGCAUUAGCUAGUUGGUGAGGUAACGGCUCACCAAGGCGACGAUGCGUAGCCGACCUGAGAGGGUGAUCGGCCACACUGGGACUGAGACACGGCCCAGACUCCUACGGGAGGCAGCAGUAGGGAAUCUUCCGCAAUGGACGAAAGUCUGACGGAGCAACGCCGCGUGAGUGAUGAAGGUUUUCGGAUCGUANAGCUCUGUUGUUAGGGAAGAACAAGUACCGUUCGAAUAGGGCGGUACCUUGACGGUACCUAACCAGAAAGCCACGGCUAACUACGUGCCAGCAGCCGCGGUAAUACGUAUGUGGCAAGCGUUGUCCGGAAUUAUUGGGCGUAGAGCGCGCGCAGGCGGUUUCUUAAGUCUGAUGUGAAAGCCCCCGG